rnacentral:rRNA from 1 species
ACGGAAGGCAGCAGUGGGGAAUGUUGGGCAAUGGGCGAAAGCCUGACCCAGCAACGCCGCGUGAAGGAAGAAGGUCUUCGGAUUGUAAACUUCUUUUAUGAGGGACGAAGGACGUGACGGUACCUCAUGAAUAAGCCACGGCUAACUACGUGCCAGCAGCCGCGGUAAUACGUAGGUGGCAAGCGUUAUCCGGAUUUACUGGGUGUAAAGGGCGCGUAGGCGGGGAUGCAAGUCAGAUGUGAAAUCUAUGGGCUUAACUCAUAAACUGCAUUUGAAACUGUGUCUCUUGAGUGCUGGAGAGGUAGAUGGAAUUCCUUGUGUAGCGGUGGAAUGCGUAGAUAUAAGGAAGAACACCAGUGGCGAAGGCGAUCUACUGGACAGUAACUGACGCUGAGGCGCGAGAGCGUGGGGAGCAAACAGGAUUAGAUACCCUGGUA